UACUGCCUUCCCUCACAGCCUCUAGCCAUUCCCUGCACUCGAGCAGCACAUGAACACAGCUGGGGCCAGUGGCUGGUAGCUCGGGAAAGAACAGGCAGAAAAAAGCUGCAGCCCCUGGCCACACUGGGGCCCAGAGUGAGCCUAAGGUGGGCAGAGCAGAGGCCGACCCUGACCAGGACUCACCGUGCUGUUCCUGGGAGGGGGUGGCCAAAGGACACCAGGGAUGGAAGGCAGUCAGGCUCCAAGUGGCUGAGCAGGUUUGUGAGAGGCCCAGGGAGAUGUAAGAACCCUGCUGCCAGUAAAUAAUGCUUCCAAAGACCCUGAGGACGUCUCCAGGCAGAACCACCCUGGAGCUUGUCCUAGCAGCUCAGACUCCAGAACUUUUGCUCUUUCCCAGGAGCUCCGGCUGCAGGGGACUCAAGGCACAGCCCCAGGUCACCCCCUCUCAGCCUCUGGCUCUCCGGCUGGAUGUCUUCACAGAGAAAAAGAUUCUUCAGCUUCAAACUGUUAUCAAGGUGCGUCUACACACACCACAGGUCUAGGGCCUAGAUUCCUGGGUCACACAGGGUAGCUCUGAGAGGCCCAAUCUUCAAGUUCUGCACCAAACCAGCUCUGCGACUGGGAUAGAGACGGGAGGUGGAGAGGAGUACUGAGCAAGUGACUGUGGCAGAGGCAGAAGGAGCAGCUGAGCCAGGAGGAAGUAUUUGGGAGCUGGAAGAGCAAACAGAAAAUGACUGGAAGGGACAGCGGAUUGAAAUGAAAUUUCCACCCUGCUUGAAAUUGCCGGGACCCCAAAGACUGAGCUGUCCCAGGCAAGACAAUCCAUUCCGAAUUCACAAAUGAAGCCGGGAGGAUGAGGACUCGGACUGGGGUGCAGAGAACAAGGCUGCCUCUUCCUUCGGGACCAUCCGUCUGGGACCUCAGCUCCCAGCCGGCCACCAAGGUCCCCGACUGCCACCUCUACCCCGCCAGACACCCGCCACUCCCAGGUGCCGCGCGGCGGCCGACUUACCUGGGCGGCGGCGGCGGCGGCGGCGGGAGCAGCCGUCGGACGGCGCGGGCGGUGCGGGCGCUGCGGAGCAAGCGGUCCCGUCCCUGCCCUGCCCGGCUCCCUCCCGCCCUCGCCCCGUAGGCGAGCGCCGCGUGGCCACGUGUCCGACGGGGAAGUCCGAGGGAGCGAAGGAGCCUGCCCGGCCUCUACUCCCCUCCCGGGUAUAAAUCUUGGGGACCGGGAAUACAAUAAAACUUCACCGUGUUGAUGAACUUCAAAUGGUUUACAUCCCCUCCUGUCCUGAAAAGAAAGACGGCCGGGGCCGGGUUAAAAGGAAGGGGGAACAAAUUUACGAGCCGCGCAAGCAUCCGCCUCGGCCUUUCCUUUUGCGGGAGCAGACUGUGCCCGCGUGGAGAGAAGUAGCCUCGGCCCUCGGGACUUUGCGUCGGCGGAGCCCGCCGCCGGGGCCUCUUCUCCCGAAGGAGUCGCCCUCGCGCACCCGCGCGCGCGGCGGCCCGGCGGCCCACGGCCAGGACGGGAAGACACCGGCGAAGCUGAAUUCCCGCGCCACGCGCACAGCCUGGGGCUCGGCUCCCAGCUCGUGGUCAAAGCGGAGCUGGGCGCCCUGGUCCUUCCCGGCUAAAGCUCGGCCCCGCCAACCACGCCCUAUGGCCUCCAGUCUUGCAUCUUUCCGCUGAAAGCGGGUUUUUUUUUUUUCAUCCGUAGCGGCCAGACCUUUGCCCUGCCCCGCCCCUUUAUUGCCAGGUACUUGAGGGAAGGGAGAGGGGUCAGCAGACCCAAGGGGGGCUGAGCGGGGCAGGGGCUCCCAGAGGAGAAAUUGAGGGGCCGGGCUUCGCCACAGUGGAAGUUCUGGCCAGCGCUGAGUAGUGUCUGAAUUGGCGUCUCGAGCUCUGCCACCGUCUCCUCUCCUGCUCCUUAAAAGCCUCAAAAUCACAUAAAAACAACAAUUACCCGGACCUCCACUACCCUCUCCAUAUAUUUUUAUUCCUGUUCUGGACCACUGGAUUUCACAAAACUCUGUGGAAUCCAGGUUUGGAAUUGUUAUUAGGCCAUUGUGAACCAAAACUAAAAAAAAUCUUUUGGUUUUGGGCUCCAGAUAGCUGGGAGUGAAGUUAUUAAAUUCCUGCUUACUGUCUGCUGGAGGGGCCUGGUUGGGUGCACUUCUGGGUGGGAGAGCAAAGGAAUUCAAUCAUGCUCAGUUACACACACACACACCACACACACACACAAGAAUUCAGGUCACAGAGGCCCUGGAGGGCUAAGAUGUGCUCAGGUUCAGGCAGGGCCUGGGACAGGACUGAGGCCCAGCUGCAGACCCAGCUGGGGGAUUGGUGCACUAACAGCACCCUCCUUCCACAAACACACACAGGUGUGAUGCUAUGCCACGGCAACUCCAUGCCUCCUCCCUCACCCCCAAGAAAGGGCACCUAAACACUGCUGGAGAUUUUAAAAAAUUGAUAAAAAAUGGAAUGUGCAGGGAAAAUACUUAGCUAGUCUACAGUUUCCAAAUUUUCUGUAAGACUAACUCUGCGGCAAGCAGAACCACUCUGCCCCCAGCCAGUGGAGAGUGGGGGCAGUGCCCUCUGUCCCUUUUUUUUACCAAGAAGGAGGAGGGGGGAGCUGUUCACAGCUAGAGGACAGGAAGUAGCUUGUUUCCAUCCCAACUUCAUUCCAAGAUAUGCAUGGUGGGGGGUGGAGGGAGCUCUGGCUCCCCUUCUCAUUAUGUGCCCUAACUCCUUCAUUUUGCUCUUUGUUGUGAUAUAUUUUUAUUAAAAAUACUGUGAUGGCAGCCACUGGCAGUCACCCCUUCUAUCAAGAUUUGUUUCUGAGAGCUGUUAGCAAUGGGCGGUGGGCAGGACUAGGGGGCCAGCAGUUUCCACACCAUUCAAGACUGUUAUUACUGCCCCCUUCCCCACUCUAUGGGCCUGCCAUGGGGACAGGUCAGUGUGCUGGCUCCCUGCUCAUUGCUGAUCUGGUUCUCCAUUGCUUCCUGGGCUGAGGAAAGGGGACUGAAUUCGUUUUAAAGUACUAGACCCUAGAGUACCUGGAAGCACAGGCUUAGAAUGAUGUACCGUGCACACACAAGUUUUUCUUCCACCUACCCUAUCCCCAGAACCCAGGCCAUGAAGCCCAGUUUUAAAAAUUAAACUAUCUUCAUGGGACUGAAUGACACAUCAAACACAUUCCUAAAGAUGCCAACCAGCCUUCUUUUUCUGAGGUCAUCUGGCCCCAGAGGAGUUAAUUUCCAAAUACUCAGCACAGACAACCACCGACAGGGGCGCUGGUGUCAACAAGCACCCUCCUGAAUGUCACUCAUACCCUGUUUGAGCUGACUGUCACUUAGUGAAUAGAAGCCAUUUAGGCAAUGUUUCUUUUCACCAUCAAGCAUUUUCUGAAUACAUUCCCAAAGUAUGUUGAUCACCAAAUUAUUCAGAAAAUUGAAAAUGC